AGAGAACCCCUAAAGGAGAGGAAGUUGGCAUGAACACACCUCUCUAUGGGAACCAGGGAUGAAUUCCUCCUGCCAGAGGAGGCUGGGAGCGGAGAUGAUCCUGUCCCAGCCGUCUCCUCCGGAAUACAUUGUUUUCUGCAAAUUCUGCUCACAGCAAGGAAACUCAGCCCCUUGAGCCACUCCCCUCUGCCAAACAAUGCAGAUGGUGGGAAUUAAUGAAUUGAUGUCAAAGCUGGGUGAAGCAGAAGCUUGCCAGGAAGGAAAGUGCCAGACAGCCCAUGCACACCAUGCUGGCUUCCUAAGGGAAGCCCCCUUGGAGAGGAAGAUGGUCAGAAAUCACACAGACUACAUGAAGGACCAAAUUAGAGCUAGAGAGGCAUAGAGAGAAUAGAAGAUGUUUCAGACACCUCUGGGACACCACAUGAACGUUCCAUGUAUCCAAAGUUCUUGGUGUUAGCUUUUUUUCCAAUAUCCAGUAUAAUUAUUAAAUACCUGGUACCUUCAACCGCA